rnacentral:tRNA from 1 species
AGUAAAGAAGCUUUUAGAAGCACUGGUCUUGUAAAUCAAAGAAGAUAAAAUCCUUACUU